GGGAGCCUGACACAGGGCUCGAUCCCAGGACCCCGGGAUCAUGACCCGAGCCGAAAGCAGACGCUUAACGACGGACCCACCCAGGCGGCCCGGCACACCUCAUCUAGAUUUAA